rnacentral:rRNA from 1 species
GACGAACGCUGGCGGCGUGCUUAACACAUGCAAGUCGAACGAAGAGCGAUGGAAGCUUGCUUCUAUCAAUCUUAGUGGCGAACGGGUGAGUAACGCGUAAUCAACCUGCCCUUCAGAGGGGGACAACAGUUGGAAACGACUGCUAAUACCGCAUACGAUCUAAUCUCGGCAUCGAGGAUAGAUGAAAGGUGGCCUCUACAUGUAAGCUAUCACUGAAGGAGGGGAUUGCGUCUGAUUAGCUAGUUGGGGGGGUAACGGCCCACCAAGGCGAUGAUCAGUAGCCGGUCUGAGAGGAGGAACGGCCACAUUGGGACUGGGACACGGCCCAGACUCCUACGGGAGGGAGCAGGGGGGGAUCUUCCGCAAUGGACGAAAGUCUGACGGAGCAACGCCGCGUGAGGGAUGACGGCCGUCGGGUUGUAAAGCUCUGUUAAUCGGGACGAAAGGCCUUCUUGCGAAUAGUGAGAAGGAUUGACGGUACCGGAAGAGAAAGCCACGGCUAACUACGUG